UGGUUCCACUUGACUUCUAAGGU
rnacentral:piRNA from 1 species